ACGCGUAGGAAUCUACCUGAUAGUGGGGGAUAGCCCGAAGAAAUUCGGAUUAAUACCGCAUAAUCUAUUCGUAGUAAAGUGGGGGACUUUCGAGCCUCACGCUAUCAGAUGAGCCUGCGUAAGAUUAGCUAGUUGGUAGGGUAAAAGCCUACCAAGGCUACGAUCUUUAGCUGGUCUGAGAGGAUGAUCAGCCACAUCGGGACUGAGACACGGCCCGAACUCCUACGGGAGGCAGCAGUGGGGAAUAUUGGACAAUGGGGGCAACCCUGAUCCAGCAAUACCGCGUGUGUGAAGAAGGCCUGAGGGUUGUAAAGCACUUUCAAUUGUGAAGAAAAGUUAACGGUUAAUAACCGUUAGCCUUGACGUUA
rnacentral:rRNA from 1 species